rnacentral:lncRNA from 1 species
AGGAAUCAAAAAAGCAGAUUUAGCUCGAAAAAAUAAGAUUAAUAAUGAUCUGAAACAUAGUAAAGGCAAAAUGAAUAAGGAUAGAGAGGAGAUGAUUGUGAUUGAUAUAACUUGGGAAAAUAGCCAUGGAUGGAAACGUGACACCAUGGAGAACCUAAACAACAACAAUCAAAUAGGGAGAAAUCAGGAAAGCAACAACAAUAACAAAGGUAAAAACAAAGGUAAAAGUAUUUGCCAAGAAUCCAGAAAUACUUU